rnacentral:rRNA from 1 species
GUGUCAGCCGCCGCGGUAAAACCAGCACCUCAAGUGGUCAGGAUGAUUAUUGGGCCUAAAGCAUCCGUAGCCGGCUCAGUAAGUUUUCGGUUAAAUCUGUACGCUCAACGUACAGGCUGCCGGGAAUACUGCAGAGCUAGGGAGUGGGAGAGGUAGACGGUACUCGGGAGGAAGUGGUAAAAUGCUUNGAUCUUUCGAUGACCACCUGUGGCGAAGGCGGUCUACCAGAACACGUCCGACGGUGAGGGAUGAAAGCUGGGGGAGCAAACCGGAUUAGAUACCCGGGUAGUCCCAGCUGUAAACUAUGCAAACUCAGUGAUGCAUUGGCUUGUGGCCAAUGCAGUGUUGCAGGGAAGCCGUUAAGUUUGCCGCCUGGGAAGUACGUACGCAAGUAUGAAACUUAAAGGAAUUGGCGGGGGAGCACCACAAGGGGUGAAGCCUGCGGUUCAAUUGGAGUCAACGCCAGAAAUCUUACCCGGAGAGACAGCAGAAUGAAGGUCAAGCUGAAGACUUUACCAGACAAGCUGAGAGGUGGUGCAUGGCCGUCGCCAGCUCGUGCCGUGAGAUGUCCUGUUAAGUCAGGUAACGAGCGAGAUCCCUGCCUCUAGUUGCCACCAUUACUCUCAGGAGUAGUGGGGCGAAUUAGCGGGACCGCCGCAGUUAAUGCGGAGGAAGGAAGGGGCCACGGCAGGUCAGUAUGCCCCGAAACUCUGGGGCCACACGCGGGCUGCAAUGGUAAUGACAAUGUGUUCCGAAUCCGAAAGGAAGAGGUAAUCCUCAAACAUUACCACAGUUAUGACUGAGGGCUGCAACUCGCCCUCACGAAUAUGGAAUCCCUAGUAACUGCGUGUCAUUAUCGCGCGGUGANUACGUCCNUGCUCCUUGCACACACCGCCCGUC